rnacentral:lncRNA from 1 species
UAAUAUAUCAAUAACUUAAUCCUACAUAACUAAUUCAUACAGAUUACAGACACCCUGAUUUAACUAUGAUUUUUUCCUUCAAAACAAAAAUAAUUAGGUAGCUUUCUGGCGUGGAUAAAGGGCAAAAAAAGUAGAUGGGAAUCAUAUUCCCCACUUUAUCACUCAUAAUUAUUGGAGUAAUUACGAAUCACAGAAGAGGAAAAGUCGUAUCUCCUAUAUUGGCGUCUACCUAUAAAUAUGGGUAUCCAAAUAGAGCCGAUAGAAGCAGAGCAUUAUCAACUCAAGUGUUUUUCUUUCAGAGCAGAGCAAAAAUUAAGCUAAAAAAAAUGAGUAGUUCCUUGAAUCCCCGUUACUACCGCACAGCCAAAGUGGAAGAAAUUGAGAAAAAAACAGAAAGGCCGAUGGAGUAUUUCACCAGAGAGAUACAGAGGCCUAAUUCUACGAAUAUGAGGAAGCCGGCGGCAGCGCCAAAGAAGCUGGAGAGCAAGCCAUCGGAAGAUAUCAAUGAAAGUGCGGAGAAUUUCAUAAAUAAGUUUAAGCAACAGCUGGUUCUGCAGAGGCUUGAGUCCAUGGAGAAUUAUGAGCAAAUGCUUAAGAGGGGAACAUAACGACCUCUCUUUCAUUUUAUUUUUCUCAAUUUUUCGCGUCUGUUAUGUAUGAAUUGUUUCAUUGUAUUGCUAUAUGUGUAUUGUGUGUGUGGUCAAUUAGUAAGUCAUAAUUAUAAAUAACUUGUAGUAAUGUAUAAAAACAAAUUAUUACUCGAUCUGUUGAGAUUUGCCUUCUUGCUGCCGUGUUUUACUGCGUCUUUAAUUUUUGUUGUGCUGCUUCAGAGAUGCAUAUUUUUCAACAUAAUUUACUUGCAUUGCUAGUUUUCUUGGUACUAAAAGUGAAAGAUCUUUCUAAAAGAGGUAUCCCCUCGGUGCAUUUGUUGGAUUUAUUCAUACAUAAAAAGACUCAUUUCAAAAAGUGUAUUCUUCUGUUUGAAAAUUUAUUUAUUUUAAAAAGGUAAUCAUGAAUCAGAUCAAACUAUUUUCAUAUUUCUUAAAUUUCGUAACCAAUCAAACUAUAUGCAUAUGGUAGAUAUAUCCUUCUUGGAUCGGGUUUGAGCGGUAUGCAUUUCUUUUUUGUUAAUGAGAGAUCUGAGUUUAAGCCCACGAUAUGGAGUAACAUUUGUUACUUUAACCCCAAUUUGGGAUUAUUAUUUUUUAUAUAAAUUCAGAUUUAAUUGAACUUAAAAGCAAAAAAUAUAGGAUAUGUCUUUCUUGAAUGAUCCUGUUGUGCAAAAAAGAUGAUCCCUUCUAUGCAUAUUAAAGGAGAUUAGGGUAUCUUUAUCUUGUCUUGUCCUUUUUGAAAAUGUGGUGUUGGAAAUCAAAGGAAUAAAAGAGGUUAUUCUGUAACUUUGAACAACUUUUGAAGGUCGUAUCAAAAGCUAGUCAGUAAAUUCUUUAAAAGCUUUUUGGAAAGAUGUUAAAUUGUCCCAGAAGAUUUUAUUUAUGAAGGGUACUGUCUGUACUAGCUACUAACCAUUUCCAAUUUCUGGCUUUCGGCUAGGCAGCCUUGGUGGCAAAUAUGGGACGGAGGGAGUAGCAAUAAAAAAAAAAGAUAUUUAAAGCAGGUCGAGCACAUUUUCAUAUGCUUGACUCAUUAAAAAAAUAUCGUAUGUGAGAGACUUGUUGAAGAUAUAAUUAAAUAUAAAAAAAUUUACUUUUCUCUAUACAACUUAAAUUUUUAGAUGAAAUAAUCAAACAUUCAUAACGUCUACUUAUGAUAGUCGAUAGAAGAUCUUGAUGAUGGCAUAGACCCCAUUGGGCUUUUACGGAGAUUACUCUGCCUCCCAUUGAAGGUAGACAAAGAAGAGAGUAUCAUAUAAGAACACAAUAAUAAAAUCUCUUUGGAGUUUGGACUCAAACCUUCCGGGAGGGCCUGUUGCAGUGAUGAUGUAUUGAGUUGAAACUAGGCUGUCAAAAUGAGCCAUAAAAAAAAAUGAUUCGUCUAACCCAUUUAUAUUUUAAUGGAGGAAUUGGGCUAAACUUUAAUAAAAGCUAAAUUUCUAUUUCAUUAAGCAUGAUACAUUCUAAACUAAGUUUUAUACGGAUUACCCCUCGAAUGGAUACUAUUAUCUAUCCAGACCUACUUUGUUCGGCACAGGUUUAUUUUUUUUUAAAUUUUUUUGAAACUAAAUUUUUACAUCGCUCGAUGUAAGUAUUAUAAGAAUUAAGUUAUACAACAUAAGUUGUGUAGUAUUUUUAAAAAUUUAUCGUAAUAUUUAGAAAUUGGAAUUAAACUUUUUGAGGCAUAGUAUGUUCUUUAUCUUUUUAAAGAAAAAAAUCUGAUAAUUAUUUUUCCCACGUCAUUACCUGAUUAAAAAUUCAUUUUGUCCUAUAUAGAUUGAUAACAUUAAACAUAUCAUUAGUGACAAUUUGACACUAUACAUCUAGUUGGACAUUUUGUCAUCUACUGUUAACAAUGUGGGGAGAAAGGACCCCUUUAAUUAUAAUUACCUUGGUUUUUUGGUUUGUUCCUAUCACGUGAUAAAUGAUAAUCAAACGCUUAAUUAUAGAGCUUGCCUAAUUUCAUGACACGUUUUUUCCCCCCUAAAAUACUCAGGGGUCACUUGGUAUGUGACUUAGGUUUGAGUUAUGAAAAUAUUAUAUUGUGCCUACUACCUAAGUAAUAUUAUGAUUGGUAACUAGUCAGAAGAUUAGUUACUCAAGUAUAAACUAAUUAUUAUGUUUGGUUUAUAAAUUAGAAUUCACAUAACUAAUAUAUGUAUAAAUUAUGAGAAUAAAUUUAUGUACUAUUUUAUACCGAAAAAGGGAGAUAAAGUGACUUGUACAUAAGUAAUUCAUACACAAAAUGACAUAAAAAAUCAUAAAUUUUCUCAUCACUAAUUUAUAUAUUACUACGCAUAUUCGCAUAACUUUCACAUGCAACAAACGAUCCUAAUUUAACUAUGAAUUUUUCGUUAAAAAUUAAGUAGAUGGGAAUCAUAUUCCCCACUUACACAAUCAUAAUUAGAUUAAUUACGAAUCAUAGAACAGGAAAAGUUGGAUCUCUUAUAUUGGCGUCUACCUAUAAAUAUGGCUAUCCAAAAAGCCGAUAGGAGCAGAGCAUUAUCAACUUGAGUGUUUUUUUUUUAGAACAGAGCAGAAAUUAAGCUAAAAAUGAGUAGUUCCUUGAAUUCCCUUUACUACCGCACAACCAAAGUGGAAGAAAUUGAGAAAAAAACAGAAAGGCAGAUGGAGUAUUUCACCAGAGAGAUACAGAGGCCUAAUUCUACGAAUAUGUGGAAUCCGGCGACGGCGCCAAAGAAGUUGGAGAGCAAGCCAUCGGAAGAUAUCAAUGAAAGUGCGGAGAAUUUCAUAAAGAAGUUUAAGCAACAGUUGCUUCUCCAGAGGCUUGAGUCCAUGGAGAACUAUGAGCAAAUGCUUAAGAGGGGAAC